rnacentral:snRNA from 1 species
CGACUCUGGUUUCUCUUCAUUACGCACAAGCCUUUCGCCUUUUACUAAAGACUUCCGUGGAGAGGAACACUUACGAGUUCAACAUAUUUUUGGAAGGGCUUUGCUUCUGCAGAGCC